rnacentral:rRNA from 1 species
UGGGGAAUAUUGCGCAAUGGAGGGAACUCUGACGCAGCGACGUCGCGUGAGCGAAGAAGGUCUUCGGAUCGUAAAGCUCUGUCUUUGGGGAAGAAGUAAGUGACGGUACCCAAGGAGGAAGCCCCGGCUAACUACGUGCCAGCAGCCGCGGUAACACGUAGGGGGCAAGCGUUGUCCGGAAUCACUGGGCGUAAAGGGUGCGUAGGCGGUAUGUCAAGUCAGGUGUGAAACCCCAUGGCUUAACUGUGGGCUUGCACAUGAAACUGGCAUGCUUGAGUGCAGGAGAGGAAAGCGGAAUUCCUAGUGUAGCGGUGAAAUGCGUAGAUAUUAGGAGGAACACCAGUAGCGAAGGCGGCUUUCUGGACUGUAACUGACGCUGAGGCACGAAAGCGUGGGGAGC